rnacentral:misc_RNA from 1 species
AUGGCAACAUGAGGUUAUUUAGGUUUACAAGACAGAGCUUCACCGCUUAUAGAACAAUUAAUUUUUUUCCAUGAUCAUGCUAUAGUAGUACUAAUCUUAAUUACUACUCUAGUUGGUUAUAUGAUGGCAACUCUUUUCUUCAAUACUUUUACGAAUCGCUUCCUUUUAGAAGGGCAAACCAUUGAAAUUGUAUGAACAGUACUUCCGGCCCUUAUUCUUAUCUUCAUCGCCCUACCUUCCUUACGAUUACUUUAUUUACUAGAUGAAGUUAAUAAUCCAAGAGUUACAUUGAAGACAAUUGGUCAUCAAUGAUACUGAAGAUAUGAAUAUUCAGACUUUUUACAAGUAGAAUUCGAUUCAUAUAUGAUCCCGACGAAUGAACUUCCCGAAGAUGGAUUCCGACUUUUAGACGUAGAUAACCGUACUAUUCUCCCUAUAAAUACACAAAUUCGAGUUUUGAUUAGUGCCGCUGAUGUUAUUCACUCAUGGACAGUUCCUGCCUUAGGAGUUAAAGCUGAUGCUAUCCCCGGACGACUUAACCAGGUGAGUUUUUUAAUAAACCGACCAGGAUUAUUUUAUGGUCAAUGUUCAGAAAUUUGUGGGGCUAAUCACAGUUUCAUACCAAUUGUAAUUGAAAGCGUUUCAGUUAACUCCUUUUUAAACUGAAUUUCUUCUGCCAGAGAAGCUU